UGCAGCCUUUGAGGAUACCACUCUCCAGCAUCUUCAUGAAGUCAAGUUUGACCUGGAAAAGACACAGAAAAGGGAAACACAAACCCUGAAUUUAAAUUGUAUCUCAGACACUACAGAUAAAAAAGACAUGCGUCUAAUUAGACUUCUUGCUCAGCAGGGGGCAGUAUGUCACCUCGGGAAUGUCCACCAUCCUCCUGAGCUUCUGGUCCCUCCAGUUCCAAUCCAGAACCAUGUAUUUCAGUGACUUCAAACCGAGCCAUCCUGGUUAAAGGACAGUCUGUGGCGCAGAGAUGGAUAAGGACGGACUUUUAGGCGGAAAAUUUCAUUUUAAGAAGUUACCCGACGGCUUGUUGAACAAAACUGAAGUGUGUGUGUUUGUGUGUGCAUGUGCUGUUUCUCUC